GGCUGCACGGUGGCGCAGUUGGUAGCACUGUAGCACUGUUGGCUUGGAGCAAGAAGGUUCUGGGUUCAAUUCCCAGGGGGUCU